rnacentral:lncRNA from 1 species
UGUCGAAGAUCACUCGAUUGUUUCAAGGUAUUUUUAGUGAGGACAGUUAAUCUUUAAAUUAAAAAAAAUAAAAAUCUCUGUCCUCUGCCAGAUGCUUUUAGUGGUGUGUCAAGAACUUGACAUUUUUGCCUGUUAGUAAGAAUCAGACUGUUUGAGGCUUAAGUGAUUACUCGAAGACAAAAUAUGGUUUAUUCUAUGCCUGAUAGCCAGUUUACAUAGUCAUGUAUACUUCUCCAUCUUAAUGAUAGCUCUAUAAAUGUUAUAAUUUGUAAGAUUAGGAGACAGUCAUUUGUUUUACACUGUAGCAAAGCAUAACAUUUUUCUUCCCCUCUGGAGAGAAUUUUGUGGUGUCUGCAUGAAAUUUUGAAUUUUUAUAUGCUAAUUAGUUGUCGUUGAUCUUAUGACAGGAAUAGUAUCCUAAAACAAGGACCUGAGCUUAACUGUACAAAUAAUGUGCAUCAGCAAGCAUGCAUAAGAUUAUCAAAGAAGCCAUGUGAAAUCCGUAUUUAUUUUUCUACUCUUAAGUCAUAGUUCAGAUCUUUAGUAAUCCACAGAAGCAGGCCAUGACAGAGUGAACCUUUCCCUGUUGGUUGCCUAUUGUUCUAAGUGGGACUUCCAUCACUAUCAGUGCCUCAGCCGUGUGUCAUCUGCUGGAGGUAAUGGCAAAGUGUCAUCAAGAAGAGGUGGUGCUUGAGGUUUCUUUCAGCCACAGAAGCAAUGAGAUUUGUGAUACAGUGAAACAGAGGCUUUUUCACAACAAGCUCAAGUACUGAGCAGAAGAAAAGCACAUGUGAGCAAGGCAGAAGAUCUAUCCCUUCCACCUGCACUGGCCUUCAUGCAGCAGAGGGAACAAGAGGAAGGGUAAAGAAAAAUAAGGAACAGGAACCAGUGUAAACAAAUAAAAAGA